UUCGUUCGUUGUCACCACGAAGGCGGCCUCUCUUGCUUCGAACCGAUUGAAAGAACUGUCCGGCUUCCGGGGCGCAGGGUCCUCGAGCACGUUCCGAGGCCAUGGCUCUACGAUACAACGACGCAGGUGAAGGAACGACGCGAGAGGGCGUCCCGUCGACGCCGCGGCAGGACAGAUGGGGACGACGACGACGAAGAAGGGUCGCCGGCGCUCGCGAUGGCGCGGAUUCGAGCACGCGCUCGACGCUGUCCUCUGCGAAGCUAGGGGCGCCCCUGCGUGGUUUCGUCCCGAGAAAGCCGCCGGUCUCCGUUCGCAACGACGUGGGCGCGGGGCACGCCACGUGCUCCACCCGAGGGACCGAAGGCCGUCGCGCCGCGGCCGGCCACGGCGCCGUUCCUGGAACCGUCGCUCGGGAACACAGGCCAGUCUUCUUCCAGCCAGCGGCAGCGGCGACGUGCAUGUCGGAGCGGGAUCGGACGUCCGCUGAGCUCAACUCCGCAGUCGCCGCGGUCUUCUAGCAGGCGGCCGAGACUUCCAGCACCCGGGGCUAGCCACACGCUGUGGUCCGAGGACCGCAGCACCGCUGCGGGGGUCGCUCGCCUUCCUCUCUUCUUCUGAGUCGAGCCGCCGACCUCGCAGGUCGGCGCGCGCUAGCGAACCGGCCCAGCCAUGACGGAGAUGUCGGCCAUGUCGGGGAUGUCGGGGAUGUCGGAGAUGUCCGGGGUGGACACCGGCGCAGGGGCAGCCGGGGCCGGAGGCGGGAUGGACCCGGAGAAGAAGAAGAAGAUCAUAAUCGCCGCCGUCGUCGUUGUGAUCGUCGUCGUCCUGCUGAUCGCGGUGGCGCUCUUCGUCGUCCUGGUACUCCUCAAGGAGGAGGUCAAGGACCGCACCGAGCCCACCGACCCCUGGUGGUGACCCCACGGCUGCUGGCUUCGCGAUGCGCCAUCUUGGAAGAGCUGCUCCUCCGGCUUUUGACACCACUGACCAUCAUCCCCCGAGGGCCGCUUCGGUCACCGACCAGCGUGUUGUCGUCUCAAACUGCGUUUUAGCUGUGACUCCUCUCUCUCUUUUUUUUUUUUUUUUCACGAUGGGUCCGCGAGAAGUGACGUAACGGCCCUCCCUGUUCACCUCGCGCCUCCUUAAGUGAUGGCUGGAUAGAUGAGGGUAAUAAACCAGAGGCCGGCGAGACCAGUGACAUCUGUGGGGACAUGAUGACUAUCGGUGCGCGCAUGGCGCCAUGUUAACAUCGUGACUGCCGCCACCGGCUCCAUUUUUGUGUCUGUGUGUUCGAUGCGUCUGUAAAUAAAGAACGACUGAAGCGAGA